rnacentral:rRNA from 1 species
UACGUAGGGUGCAAGCGUUGUCCGGAAUUAUUGGGCGUAAAGAGCUCGUAGGUGGCCUGUCGCGUCGGCUGUGAAAACUCGGGGCUCAACUCCGAGCUUGCAGUCGAUACGGGCAGGCUAGAGUUCGGCAGGGGAGACUGGAAUUCCUGGUGUAGCGGUGAAAUGCGCAGAUAUCAGGAGGAACACCGGUGGCGAAGGCGGGUCUCUGGGCCGAUACUGACGCUGAGGAGCGAAAGCCAGGGGAGCAAACGGG